UUGCACUGUUCGUAACCUGUUACUUGCUUUUAAUCUUGCAUCAGGUUCCAUUCCAGUGCUACAUUAAUCCCAGCAAAUAUUAUCAGUUAACUGCUCAUUGUACUGUUGACUUCUUCAGAGUUGGGAAUAUAC